GCAUUAGUAUUUGACAGAUCACGUGGGAUUUCAGACAUGGUGUCAAAGAGAAAGNUUUGACACCAUGUCUGAAAUCCCACGUGAUCUGUCAAAUAC
rnacentral:pre_miRNA from 1 species